rnacentral:rRNA from 1 species
AGUGAACGCUGGCGGUAGGCCUAACACAUGCAAGUCGAACGGCAGCACAGUAAGAGCUUGCUCUUACGGGUGGCGAGUGGCGGACGGGUGAGGAAUACAUCGGCAUCUACUUUUUCGUGGGGGAUAACGUAGGGAAACUUACGCUAAUACCGCAUACGACCUACGGGUGAAAGCAGGGGAUCUUCGGACCUUGCGCGAUUGAAUGAGCCGAUGUCGGAUUAGCUAGUUGGCGGGGUAAAGGCCCACCAAGGCGACGAUCCGUAGCUGGUCUGAGAGGAUGAUCGGCCACACUGGAACUGAGACACGGUCCAGACUCCUACGGGAGGCAGCAGUGGGGAAUAUUGGACAAUGGGCGCAAGCCUGAUCCAGCCAUACCGCGUGAGUGAAGAAGGCCUUCGGGUUGUAAAGCCCUUUUGUUGGGAAAGAAAAGCAGCAGGUUAAUCCCCCGCUGUUCUGACGGUACCCAAAGAAUAAGCACCGGCUAACUUCGUG